rnacentral:rRNA from 1 species
CCUACGGGAGGCAGCAGUGGGGAAUAUUGGACAAUGGGCGAAAGCCUGAUCCAGCAAUGCCGCGUGAGUGAUGAAGGCCUUAGGGUUGUAAAGCUCUUUUACCAGGGAUGAUAAUGACAGUACCUGGAGAAUAAGCUCCGGCUAACUCCGUGCCAGCAGCCGCGGUAAUACGGAGGGAGCUAGCGUUGUUCGGAAUUACUGGGCGUAAAGCGUGCGUAGGCGGUGAUUCAAGUCAGAGGUGAAAGCCUGGAGCUCAACUCCAGAACGGCCUUUGAAACUAGAUCGCUAGAAUUAUGGAGAGGUAAGUGGAAUUCCGAGUGUAGAGGUGAAAUUCGUAGAUAUUCGGAAGAACACCAGUGGCGAAGGCGACUUACUGGACAUAUAUUGACGCUGAGGUACGAAAGCGUGGGGAGCAAACAGGAUUAGAUACCCUGGUAGUCCACGCCGUAAACGAUGAUAACUAGCUGUUCGGGCUCUCAGAGCUUGAGUGGCGCAGCUAACGCAUUAAGUUAUCCGCCUGGGGAGUACGGUCGCAAGNUUAAAACUCAAAAUGAAUUGACGG